rnacentral:lncRNA from 10 species
CCGAAAUUCACAGACAUUUGGCAAUCGACCCCAUCAAGGGGGUACGGGUUGGCCUAGACCACCCUGGAUUCCUUCUCCGGCUGCGUUCUGUGGCCAAUGUACUGAGCCCUGCCGGCCUCCUUCCUCAAGAAGCUGGAAAUCUGGUAGGAGCUGGAGAUGGUUUCACUGGGGUCCCCAGGCUCACCACCCAUGGGGCUGCAGAGGGAGUGGUGGAGAUACACAUGGAGGCCUCCUGGCUCUGGGAGUAGCUUCACACUCAUACUCGGGGAAUUGUUCUAAUGGCUCAGGCUUGAGGCACCACAUGCAGUUUUUUUUUUUAAAGUAUGGUAUUAAUUUAUACUUGUCUGUUGUUUAUCCAAUAAAUGGCGUUCCAAAUAGCAGGGCACUAGCCUGAACGGGAGAGGAGUGUGGAUUCUGUUCUAAGCAUGUUACAGCAUCUGCUUUCAUACUCAUGCAUAUGCACACAUGCAUAUAUGUAUAUCCAUGUCUACCUCAGGCGUGGGCACUUGCUGACUUAUCAGGCAUAGCCAAAGAUAAAAGGCAACACUAUGCUCCAUGGAGGAUGAAUCUCACUUGGGUAAUAAAAUGACAAAGAAAACUAGAGAACUAAUGGCCAUAAGACUCAGCCCAGCUGUGCCCCAGGAGGGAGGAGAGAUUUGGGAGUGGGGUUCUGUAGGGGGGUGGGAAGGCUCUAGAGUGGGUGCUGGGGGUUACAAGCAUUUUUGCCUUAUAGGACUUCAUUAAACUUCAUGUUUGCUUUAUGCAGCUUCCUGUACUUGUGGGACAUUUACUGUUAAAUAUAUACUUUCAUAUAUAUGUGCAGAUAUACCUCAAUAUAUAUGUAUAUAUAUGUCUGUAUGUGUGUGUUGUAUGUACACACACAUACACAGAGACAUUACAGACAUGUACUCACUCUCUUUCACCUGAGUUGGCAGAAAGUUUUGUUGCUGGGCCCUGCUGAGAUAACCGGUUUGCCCAGUGGCUUGCUGGCCUUGCCAGGCUGUGCUGAGCUGUUCUGCGAUGGCUGGCAGGCGCUGCCUGGGCUAGAACUGGUAGUAGAGCUCCAGGUUUUAAAUGGACCUAGGGGGAUCAGCCCAGGGUUCCAUGCAGGUUUAGCAGGUAGGGUGUAGCAGGCCACAGCUCUGAGAAGGCUCUGACCUGGCAAAUGCUCACGGACUUGAGGCCUGCCCUGCCUGACAGCGGCUCUGAUUUCCUGACCUGUGCACAGGAGCUGGCUGAGGGGCAGCCCCUGCAGGCUUAGAGUUUUCUGGUGAAAAGUGUUGUGGCAAAAGGAGCUUGAGCUGGUCCCCCAGUACCUCUGGGCCAUGUGGGGCCUUCCCCCUCCCGAGGAGAGGGGCAUGACUGAGAUGUGCCCUCUGCCCCAGGGAGGCACACACCAGGGCAGGGCUAGGAGACACUCAGCCUCAGUAGCCACUUUCCAGUCAAGGGCCUGGGGUCACAGAAACCUCAGGGCUCCUUCCUGUAAGUCGGGGUGGUUCUCAGCAGCAAGCUUUCACUUUCCAUGCCUGGCUGGGACAGCUGGGUAUUGAGACUGAAGAGACAGCCCACCUCUCCUUCUGCCCAGAAAGUGAAAAUGCCUGAGAAGGCGCUGGGAGUGACUGGGGACAGCCAGAUGAAGGUCCAGUUCUGGUGUCGGGUCCCUGAGGAGGGAGCUCUGUGGACUGGCUCCGUAGCACAUGCUCCUGGGGCUUGCCUGGCACCGGUGCAGGGAUCAAGGUCGGAGUCCACUGGCUGCUGGGAAGGCUGGCAUUGGAGUUACACUAAGGCGCUGAGCAGCGUUAGGCACUCAAAAUCUAUUUUAAGCCUUGUGUAAACAUGCAUGAGGCGAAGUCUCCCUCUCCCUGCUGCUCCUGCAGAAAGAGCUGUCCUUUGCAUUGCCAACUUCUCAGGGUUCUUGUGGAGGUUAAGCAAGUGCUGUUUUGAUUUUUUUCUGGAGGUGAAGUGAAUUAUAGCCUUGUUGUUUUAAUAAGUCACAAUAUUUACAAGUUCAUUUCUUUGAACUGUGUGUGGGGGGUUAUUUUGUCUGCAAUUUUGAAGAAAGAAGUAAUGCAUGACUCUGAUUUGCGGCUGCAGGAUAAAUCCGAACUAUUUCAGGGAGAUGUCAUGGAGAGCUCAUCUCUCAGCAUCAAAGUUGCCUCUCCUGACUUUUGAAUUUUAAGUGUUCUGUGUGGAAGAAAAAUGGAGACAACAAAUUUCUAUGCAUGGAUUCAAAGAAUCCUCGUAAUAUACAGACUACAUUCUCCCCAGCUUUUUAUCUCUAUAUAUUCUUUUUGUUGAGUUUCAACCACAUAGGGUUGAAAUUCACCUUCCCACAUUACAUUUUUCAUCAAUAGUUGAAGACCUAUGUAUGUAAAUAUCAGGAACUAUCAGAACUCCCUGCAACAGGAAACCUGACCCCCAACUCCCCCGAAAUGCAUCAUGAUAAACAGUCACUUGCCAAAAUAACAAAUCAGCUUCCUGGAACAUGCUUGCUCAAAACCAGGAGAGGAGCUUAGAGACGUCAGCUUGACUUCUGCCUCGUACGCAGGAAGGGUGACCUUCAAAGAUCAAACAUCGUCCCAAAUCUCCCUUCAUCUUGUAGUACUCCUGCUUGUCGUAGCUCCUGUUACCAUCAGGUACUGGGCCAACCAUCCGUCAUGUCAGAAGAGAGUUGGGGACAAUCCCUGGAUUAUUUCACCUUUGCCCUGCUGGUAUAGACAAUGUGUGUUAUGGCUGGGUGACUUGCUGACUUUUACUCUGAGCAACAGCUUUGUCAGAGUAAACUAAAACAGAGACUUCAGAGCAUAAUAAAAUAUGACAUUUUUUCUGUAUAGAACUAAAGACACGGGGGAGAGAGAACAACUUAAUUAAAAAGACAGUGCCCUUUCAGUGUCUUUUUUUUUUUUUUUUUUUUUUUUUUUUUGAGAUGGAGUCUUGCUCCGUCGCCAGGCUGGAGUGCAGUGGCGUGAUCUGGGCUCACUGCAACCUCCACCUCCCGAGUUCAAGUGAUUCUCCUGCCUCAGCCUCCCAAGUAGCUGGGACUACAGGCACGUGCCACCACACCCAGCUAAUUUUUUUUGUAUUUUUAGUAGAGACAGGGUUUUACCGUGUUGGCCAGGAUGGUCUCGAUCUCUUGACUUUGUGAUCUGCCCUUCUCUGCCUCCCAAAGUGCUGGGAUUACAGGCGUGAGAGUUUGUAUUAAUAAAAUAAGAGGAAC